AGGCAGCAGUGGGGAAUUUUGGACAAUGGGCGAAAGCCUGAUCCAGCAAUGCCGCGUGUGUGAAGAAGGCCUUCGGGUUGUAAAGCACUUUUGUCCGGAAAGAAAUGGCUCUGGUUAAUACCUGGGGUCGAUGACGGUACCGGAAGAAUAAGGACCGGCUAACUACGUGCCAGCAGCCGCGGUAAUACGUAGGGUCCAAGCGUUAAUCGGAAUUACUGGGCGUAAAGCGUGCGCAGGCGGUUGUGCAAGACCGAUGUGAAAUCCCCGAGCUUAACUUGGGAAUUGCAUUGGUGACUGCACGGCUAGAGUGUGUCAGAGGGGGGUAGAAUUCCACGUGUAGCAGUGAAAUGCGUAGAGAUGUGGAGGAAUACCGAUGGCGAAGGCAGCCCCCUGGGAUAACACUGACGCUCAUGCACGAAAGCGUGGGGAGCAAACAGGAUUAGAUACCCUGGUAGUCCACGCCCUAAACGAUGUCAACUAGUUGUUGGGGUUCAUUUCCUUAGUAACGUAGCUAACGCGUGAAGUUGACCGCCUGGGGAGUACGGUCGCAAGAUUAAAACUCAAAGGAAUUGACGGGGACCCGCACAA
rnacentral:rRNA from 1 species